rnacentral:rRNA from 1 species
CAGCACCUCAAGUUGUCAGGAGGAUUAUUGGGCCUAAAGCAUCCGUAGCCUGCUCUGUAAGUUUCCGGGUUAAAUCCAUUUGCUCAACAAAUGGGCUGCCGGAAAAACUGCAAAGCUAGGGAGUGGGAGAGGUAGACGGUACUCGGUAGGAAGGGGUAAAAUCCUUUGAUCUAUUGAUGACCACCUGUGGCGAAGGCGGUCUACCAGAACACGUUCGACGGUGAGGGAUGAAAGCUGGGGGAGCAAACCGGAUUAGAUACCCGGGUAGUCCCAGCUGUAAACGAUGCAGACUCGGUGAUGCGUUGGCUUGUGGCCAGUGCAGUGCCGCAGGGAAGCCGUUAAGUUUGCCGCCUGGGAAGUACGUACGCAAGUAUG